GGGUUAGAGNNNNNNNNNNNNNNNNNNNNUUUAUUUCUUGUGUGUGUGUGUGUGUGUGUGUUGAUUCACUGUGUGUGUGUGUGUGUGUGUGUGUGUUGAUUCACUGUGUGUGUGUGUGUGUGUGUGUGUGUGUGUGUGUGUGUGUGUUGAUUCACUGUGUGUGUGUGUGUGUGUUGAUUCACUGUGUGUGUGUGUGUGUGUGUUGGUUCACUGUGUGUGUGUGUUGAUUCACUGUGUGUGUUGAUUCACUGUGUUGAUUCUCUGUGUGUUGAUUCACUGUGUGUUGAUUCACUGUGUUGAUUCACUGUGUGUUGAUUCACUGUGUGUGUGAGUGUGUGUGUGUUGAUUCACUGUGUGUGUUUGUGUUGAUUCACUGUGUAUGUGUGUGUGUGUGUGUGUGUGUGUGUGUGUGUUGAUUCACUGUGUGUGUGUGUUGAUUGACUGUGUGUGUUGAUUGACUGUGUGUGUUGAUUCACUGUGUGUGUGUGUGUGUGUGUGUGUGUUGAUUCACUGUGUGUGUGUGUUGAUUCACUGUGUGUGUGUGUUGAUUGACUGUGUGUGUGUGUUGAUUGACUGUGUGUGUGUGUUGAUUCACUGUGUGUUGAUUCACUGUGUGUGUGUGUGUGUGUGUUGAUUCACUGUGUGUGUGUGUGUGUGUGUUGGUUCAUUGUUGAUUCACUGUGUGUGUGUUGAUUCACUGUGUGUGUGUUGAUUCACUGUGUGUGUGUUGAUUCACUGUGUGUGUGUGUUGAUUCACUGUGUGUGUGUGUGUGUUGAUUCACUGUGUGUGUGUGUGUGUGUGUGUUGAUUCAUUAUGUGUGUGUUCUAGGUUCUACUUUAAGAAGGUGAGUGAUGAGUUUGACUGUGGCGUGGUGUUUGAGGAAGUCAAAGAGGACGACGCCGUCUUGCCCAUCUACGAGGAGAAGAUCAUCGGAAAGGAUGAGACACAAGGAUGGAAUGGUACACAGAAUGUCACUGCCUGGUUGAAGCGUAGAGGAACACGUUUGGAAAGGAAGGAUGGAGGGAUGAACAGGGUGAAAAGCCGAUUUCUAAACAGUCUUCCUCCUGUUCUGGGGGAGUUGUUCUCCUUCCAGAACCAGCUGCUGCUAAGUUGCUAUGGUGACGUCAUGGUGCUCGGAACAGGAUGACGGCUGAGUUCCAUUCCGGAAUCUCACUCCCUUCAGUCCCUAGACUCGUCACUGAGGGGGCAGAGGGGAUGGGUGCGGCCCAAAUAGCACCCUAGACCCCAGUGAUCAUCAACUAGAUUCAGCCUUAGGCUGAUUAUUAUUAUUUUUUUAAUCUUGAGUGGCUGGUCAGGGGGCCUGAAUAUAAUUACAUAGAAUUUGUGGACUGCAAAUUGAAUACAACAAGCCCAAACAGAUAGACUAUUUGACUAAAACAUAAUCAUUUCAAACCUUGCUUACAUUUGUAUACAAUCACCUAUCUCUCUAUUAUGCCUGGGAAUAUUUUUAGAAUACCGAAAUGUAAAAUAAUUUGGAGCUGAAAGACGGUGUUUUUACAAGCUUUUAUGUUCCAAAAUAAAAGCCCUAUGGUCCCUGGUCACUAUAGGGAAUAGGCUGCCGUUUGGGACGUAAACCGAUGAGGUGAGGAUUUUCAUCAUGGAGCGGAGCCUUCAUCUCCUCAACACGUGGACAUCAUAAUGACAUCAUAAAGAACCUUCACGCUCCAUCCUCUGAUGUCACCUAGCGAUGUCAAAGCAUUCUGUUCAAACAAACAUUGCUCUGUAAAACUGGUUUACUGCAGCUGUAUAUUUUUGAUACAACGCUAUGCCUACGGACAUAAAAGGAAAAGUAGUCUUUUUACCUGUAGACGUGGAGUAUUUUUUCUGGGUGGGUAAUGUACAGGUACUAGUAGGUUUUAACAUGUGUACAGGCUGGGGUACAGUCCCUAACGGCACCCUAUUCCCUUUCUAGUGCACUACUUUUAACCAGAGCCCUAUGGCUAAUGGCACCCUAUUCCCCAGCUAGUGCACUACGUGGGGGGAGAGGGGGGUUAGGGUGUGGUUUGGGACUCCUUGUGUUUUUAUAUGUAAAGGUAUAUAUUUUAAAGCUAGAUGGCUGAGUCUUGUAAGGGCUGAAAUCUGUUUUCAGGCAGUCCAUGCUUCUCCAGGAGACGCUUCAUGUCUAUUAUCCCGUUCAACUGCCUCUAACCCCUACACCCUAGGUUGAAACCCUAACCCCUACACUCUAGGUUGAACCCCUAACCCCCUACACUCUAGGUUGAACCCCUAACCCCCUACACUCUAGGUUGAACCCCUAACCCCCUACACUCUAGGUUGAACCCCUAACCCCCUACACUCUAGGUUGAAACCCUAACCCCCUACACUCUAGGUUGAAACCCUAACCCCCUACACUCUAGGUUGAAACCCUAACCCCCUACACUCUAGGUUGAAACCCUAACCCCCUACACCCUAGGUUGAAACCCUAACCCCCUACACUCUAGGUUGAAACCCUAACCCCCUACACUCUAGGUUGAACCCUAACCCCUACACUCUAGGUUGAAACCCUAACCCCCUACACCCUAGGUUGAAACCCUAACCCCCUACACCCUAGGUUGAAACCCUAACCCCCUACACCCUAGGUUGAAACCCUAACCCCCUACACUCUAGGUUGAAACCCUAACCCCCUACACUCUAGGUUGAAACCCCUAACCCCAUACACCCUAGGUUGAACCCCCCUACACCCUAGUUUUGGAGUGGGGACUAGGGAUUGGUUUGGAAUUUGAAAACUGUCUGUCGAUCAUUAAUGUACUGCAACUCUCCCCAACUUCUCCCCUCAGACACCCAGGGCCUGUAUCUGUUUCAGAUCAAAGCUGCCGAAUAGCAGAGCACAGAUCUAGAAUCAGCUUAGCCCUAACCCUGUGUUGUGUCUCAAGUGACACCCUAUUCCCUAUAUAGUGCACUACUUUUCACCAGGUUUCAUAGGGCUGUGGUCAGAAGUAGUGCACUACAUAGGGAAUAAGGUGUCACUCUCUGCAGAGGAAACUGUCUUAGGAUCUGUUUUUUACUCCAAGGUUCCUGUACUGUGUGUAUUCUAUGUACUAUGUUGUAUUUCUACAAUGAACUGAUCUACAGUGCGUGGAUCUAUGUAAACAGCCAAAGAAAAUCCAUAACCUGUCUGUGUUGCGAUGUCUGUCUGUCUCUGGGCACUGUCUGUACAUCUGUCAAAUGCGUCUGUCUGUACAGUUAGUCCCGUUGUGAAAUGUAUUGUUUUAUUGUGCAUCUGUCUGUAUGGCAGAAAUUCACUUGGUUAUCCCUAUUUUCCCCAAUAGUCCAGUCUAUAAUGUGGAGUUAAAUGUAUAGGGUUUUAAAUCAACUUCUGGAGAAACAGUGCCUGAAGUUGACUUGCACUCAGAUCUGGUCGAAGAGGGUAAAUACACAAUAGGACUAUUUCAUCCCAAAAAAUCCAAGAUGGUGACCCACUAUAAAUCCAAGAUGGUGACCCACUAUAAAUCCAAGAUGGUGACCCACUAUAAAUCCAAGAUGGUGGUCCCACUAUAAAUCCAAGAUGGUGGUCCCACUAUAAAUCCAAGAUGGUGGUCCCACUAUCUCCCCCUCUGAAUUAUAACGUUUUAGAUGAGAGAAUGUUGUUUCAUGCGACAAUAUCUGUCCAAUAAUCGGCAAGCAUGUUCUCAUUUUAUAUAAAAUGUAUUUUACGAUUAUACAUUGGAUUAUACCUGAUUUUAGUUUUAUUUGUAGUUGUAAACUACAUUGCCCCUUUUGAAUGGUAUUUAAUGCUGUGUUAUUGGAAGUAUUGGGGGGGAUGUCCUGGAUUGCACCCUAUUUUCUAUAUUGUACUCUACUGGCCUUAAAAGUAGUGCACUACAUAGAGAAUAGGGUGCCAUUGGCCAUAGGGACCUGGUAAAAAGUAGUGCACUAUAUAGGGAAUAGGGUGCCAUUUGAGACGUCUCCCUGGAAUUCUCAUAAAUUAAUGGGAAAAGCUGUAAGGGUCCUUUUUUAGAAUGGUAGUAAUUAUAAUUAAGGUAAUUUCCAUUUAAUUUAACUAAGUUCUUACAGGGUCACUACAGAGUAUGUGGGACUGAUCUAUAAUUUUAUUUGUUUAUUUUAAGAUCACAAUGAAUAACAUUACAUUUGUAAUUUAGCAGACGUUCUUAUCCAGAGCGACUUACAGUAGUGAGUGGAAUACAUUUUCAUUGAUACUGGUUCCCCGUCCCCCCUGGCGUUGCAAGUUCCAACUGGACAGGGGGGACAACCUGAUCCUAGAUCCAGCCAACCUACUCUGAGAAGAUUUCUGAAUACAGGCCCAGAUGUCAGUGGUGGUGGGGUGAAAACUGUGCCUUUUUAUUCCCAUCCUAACUUCAAUCACUGAUUGUCAUAAAACCUGUCAUUACAUGCAUUAGCCUCUAGGUGCUGUUUUUAAAUCAUUGUUAUUUAGUUUAUUAUUUUCAACCAACAUUACGCUGUGUCGGUCUAGACAAGCCUGCUCUUCACUAUGUAAAUAUGUACAUUGCCAUAUUUCCUAUGUUUUCAGUCCUCAACCCGCUGACAGCCAGCCAAUCUCUGAGGUUUAUAAACUACAGACUACACAGAGAUUGCAGAGCGCUGGAUUCACGUGUACAUUUCUUUUUAAAAAGGUACUUCGUUAAUAAAUACAUUGAAUAAAAUAUGACCCCUGUCCUUGUUGAUGGAGUAGUAGC
rnacentral:lncRNA from 8 species